rnacentral:rRNA from 1 species
AUUGAACGCUGGCGGCAGGCUUAACACAUGCAAGUCGAGCGGAGAGAGGUAGCUUGCUACUGAUCUUAGCGGCGGACGGGUGAGUAAUGCUUAGGAAUCUGCCUAUUAGUGGGGGACAACAUUUCGAAAGGAAUGCUAAUACCGCAUACGUCCUACGGGAGAAAGCAGGGGAUCUUCGGACCUUGCGCUAAUAGAUGAGCCUAAGUCGGAUUAGCUAGUUGGUGGGGUAAAGGCCUACCAAGGCGACGAUCUGUAGCGGGUCUGAGAGGAUGAUCCGCCACACUGGGACUGAGACACGGCCCAGACUCCUACGGGAGGCAACAGUGGGGAAUAUUGGACAAUGGGCGGAAGCCUGAUCCAGCCAUGCCGCGUGUGUGAAGAAGGCCUUAUGGUUGUAAAGCACUUUAAGCGAGGAGGAGGUUACUUUAGUUAAUACCUAGAGAUAGUGGACGUUACUCGCAGAAUAAGCACCGGCUAACUCUGUGCCAGCCGCCGCGGUAAUAC